GACGAACGCUGGCGGCGUGCUUAACACAUGCAAGUCGAACGCUGAAGCUCAGCUUUUGUUGGGUGGAUGAGUGGCGAACGGGUGAGUAACACGUGAGUAACCUGCCCCCUUCUUUGGGAUAACGCCCGGAAACGGGUGCUAAUACUGGAUAUUCACUGGUCUUCGCAUGGGGGUUGGUGGAAAGGGUUUUUCUGGUGGGGGAUGGGCUCGCGGCCUAUCAGCUUGUUGGUGGGGUGAUGGCCUACCAAGGCUUUGACGGGUAGCCGGCCUGAGAGGGUGACCGGUCACAUUGGGACUGAGAUACGGCCCAGACUCCUACGGGAGGCAGCAGUGGGGAAUAUUGCACAAUGGGCGCAAGCCUGAUGCAGCGACGCCGCGUGAGGGAUGGAGGCCUUCGGGUUGUGAACCUCUUUCGCUCAUGGUCAAGCCGCAACAAUGGUUGUGGUGAGGGUAGUGGGUAAAGAAGCGCCGGCUAGCUACGUG
rnacentral:rRNA from 1 species